CUACGGGCUGCUGCAGUGAGGAAUAUUGCACAAUGGGGGGAACCCUGAUGCAGCAACGCCGCGUGGAGGAUGACGCAUUUCGGUGUGUAAACUCCUUUUAUAUGUCAAGAAAAUGACGGUAGCAUAUGAAUAAGCACCGGCUAACUCCGUGCCAGCAGCCGCGGUAAUACGGAGGGUGCAAGCGUUACUCGGAAUCACUGGGCGUAAAGGACGCGUAGGCGGGUUGGAAAGUCAGGUGUGAAAUCCUACAGCUUAACUGUAGAACUGCACUUGAAACUUCUAAUCUAGAGGAUGGGAGGGGGAGAUAGAAUUAGUGGUGUAGGGGUAAAAUCCGUAGAUAUCACUAGGAAUACCUAAAGCGAAGGCGAUCUCCUGGAACAUUACUGACGCUAAGGCGUGAAAGCGUGGGGAGCAAACAGGAUUAGAUACCCCCGUAGUC
rnacentral:rRNA from 1 species